rnacentral:rRNA from 1 species
CUUAUUGAAGUGCUUGCACGGAUGUAAGGAUUUGACGCUGGAUAGCGGCAAACGGGUGAGUAACGCGUGAGUAACUUGCCCUCGAGUCAGGAAUAGCUUUGUGAAAACGGAGGUAAUACCUGAUAGUAUUGAAGUGCUGCAUAGCACUUUUAUUAAAGGCGGGGAUCUUUUGACCUGUCGCUCGGGGAUGGGCUCGCGUCCUAUCAGCUUGUUGGUGGGUAAUGGCCUACCAAGGCUUAUGACGGGUAGCUGGUCUGAGAGGAUGGUCAGCCACACUGGGACUGAGACACUGCCCAGACUCCUACGGGAGGCUGCAGUCGAGAAUAUUUAGCAAUGGGGGAAACCCUGACUAUGCGACGCCGCGUGCAGGAUGAAGGUUUUCGGAUUGUAAACUGCUUUUGUCAGGAAAGAAACCUUAUCGGUUAAUACCCGGUAAGCUGACGGUACCUGACGAAUAAGCCACGGCUAACUCCGUGCCAGCAGCCGCGGUAAUACGGAGGUGGCAAGCGUUACUCGGAAUUACUGGGUGUAAAGGGCAAGUAGGCGGUUUAAUAAGCGAGGGGUGAAAUCUUCCGACUCAAUCGGAAAACUGCCUUUCGAACUGUUAGACUUGAGGCAAGUAGGGGGAAAUGGAAUUCCCGGUGUAAGGGUGAAAUCUGUAGAUAUCGGGAAGAACACCAACAGCGAAGGCAAUUUCCUGGGCUUGUCCUGACGCUAAAUUGCGAAAGCUAGGGGAGCAAACAGAAUUAGAUACUCUGGUAGUCCUAGCCGUAAACGAUGAGUACUAGGUGUCGAUUCGCAAGAUUCGGUGCCGCAGCUAACGCAUUAAGUACUCCACCUGGGGACUACGGUCGCAAGGCUAAAACUCAAAGGAAUUGACGGGGGCCCGCACAAGCGGUGGAACAUGUGGUUUAAUUCGAUGAUACGCGAAAAACCUCACCAAGGCUUGACAUAUAAGGAAGUAGUGAACCGAAAGGGGGAACGAGUCGUCAAGUCCGACAACCUAUAC